rnacentral:rRNA from 1 species
AAAUACUCCAAAAAAUAGUCUCAGUUCAGAUUGCAGGCUGCAACUCGCCUGCAUGAAGUCGGAAUUGCUAGUAAUCGUAGGUCAGCAUACUACGGUGAAUACGUUCCCGGGCCUUGUACACACCGCCCGUCAAACCAUGAGAGUUGGCAACACCCGAAGUCGGUAGUCUAACCGCAAGGAGGACGCCGCCGAAGGUGGGGUCGAUGAUUAGGGUUAAGUCGUAACAAGGUAAC